rnacentral:sRNA from 1 species
CACAAGACGUGAUCCAUGUUAAGAACGUAGAUGCUGUACAUCACAACAGCUUUUAUUGCCAACCUGUCAAGAUCUUGUUAUUCUAGUAGAUAUCUUAUAAGUCUACAAAUUAAUAACAAAUAUCAUAUGAAAUUCUACUAAAUCAGAGAAUGAAGACAAAUGAAUUUGAUUGUUUUACAAGGUUCUCCUAAAGUCAGAGCAACUACAAUAAAAAGACCGAGGUAAGACAGAUACCUGAAUGUCUGUGUUUGUGCUGUCUGAGGAUCGUCGGACCAGAGCACAGCUGGAGCUGUGGGUGGACAUCUGAGAGGAGCAGGCAGAGGACUAGGACACUCACAAAGCCUGGGUUUUCACUAACCAGGCUGGCUUCAAACUCACCAUAUAGCAGCUGAGGGCAAUCUGAACUUUCUGCUCCUCCCUCCUGCACCUCCCAAGUGCUGGGAUUAUAGUUUGUACCACCGUGCAUAGUGCAUGUGGUCAUGGAAUAGACCCCAGGGCUUUGUGCACACUAGGCACACACUAUCAACUGAGCCACGUCCCCAACUCAGGAAUGCCCCUUAUGUGCUAAAAAAAAAAAAAAAAAGUGAUAGAAAGCAGUCCAUUCAUGAGGGAAUGUGAGAGGACUGAGGAAGAAGGUAUUUCAAUUCAGCAUGUUCAAAACCAAAGCAGUCUAAGCCGCCACCCACCUAAACCCCACACAAACAGAAAGGACUGUCCUCACGUGCUUAUUUUCCCUUCAGUCUACUGAUACACUUAUUCUUAGGAGUCUGCUCCUAAGUGGAUUCAAACUGAGCUUUUGAUUCAUGUAACAGUGUUUUGUAUUCACAGGUUAGACUUCUGUCACUAUGAAAAACUGCCUUACAUAACGACUUCCGGAGAAGGUUCCUCAGACUGUGGUAGUAAAGGUUUAGUCCAUCACAGUGGGGAGCAGAGCUGCUCACAUCACCACAGAGAAAACCCACAGAAUUAUUCACAGCGAUGGAGGAGGCCUAUCUCUCUCGGCAUGCUAUGCUGGUCCACUAUUCAAAAUUAAUCAGUGUGGAGCUGGAGGGAUGCCUAAGUGGUUCAGAACCCUGGCUGCUCUUGCAGAACUGGAUUUGGUUCCCAGAACUAACAUGAUAGCUCACAACUAUCUGCAAAUCCAGUUCCAUGGGAUUCAAUGCCCUCUUCUGGUUUCUGGGAGCACCAGGCCCAAGUGGUAAAUAGACAUACAUACAAAUAAAACAUGAAUACUCGUGAAAUAGCAAAGACUCAAAGCAAAAUCAAUGUAUGCUAUGAAAAUCACAUAAUCAAAUUAAUAGAUAUAAGAAAAAAGUUCUCACAAAAUCCUAUACUGAUUCAUAAUAAAACUGCUUGGCGGACUAGGAAUAGAAGGAAACCUCUUCACCGUGGGCUUUAAGAUUAAAACAACAACAACGACAACAACAACUGCACAGCUAGCAUUUAUUACAAUUAAUGCUGAGAAACCUGGAAAUUUGGAACAACUGUUUUCCUCAUAGUUCUAAGACCAAUAACACAACGAGACAAAAAGGAACAAAAUUGGCUUAAAAUACAGUUAUAUAUCAGAACCUAGAGUAAAGGCUAAAACAAUGCACUUGCAAAUUAAAUUAUUUUAUUUCUAAAAUUGGACUGAGAACUAACAUUCAGUGUAAUUCCAUCUCCUGAGCCCCGGGCAGUACUAUCUCAGCUGUUAAGUGAGUCCUCAGUACUGGUGAAGCAGGAGGUUAAACAGGUGGAAAGAUUGAGAAAGCAUUGUUUACCUGACUGGAGCUGUUCCAGUUUAUCCUUUUUGUGUGAUGUUAGGUCUCCUAUGAAGCAGACACCACCCCUAGCAAGCAAAGCACUGCCAGCUUGAAUGCUUACUGCUCCAGUUCCAUAUUUAUCUCUGGACACAGUAGGAAAAACUUCAGUACAGACAGGAUGACGUAUGCCACGGGACACAAGGUUCAUGCUAAAAUUCAAAAGUCUAGGGAAAGUAAGUUAUUCAGAUAUUUAAUGAUGACAUCAUUAAUGUGAACGACAUGUUUAAAUUUAACUUGGCCAGUGUCUACCAAGCACUACAUAUACCUGGUGUUUUAUUUGAAGAGCUUACAGCAUAGACAGAGUUAGAGAAACAAUUUACAAUGGAAUAAUUCUAAAAUAUCUUCUUGAGAACACCACAGAGGGAAUUAUUAUUUCCUUUUAGAAAGGAAUCAGAGAAAGCCGUGGGAAGGCAACGUUUAAAUGGGAUCACUGUCUUUGUUGUUGCUGUGUUGGAGACAGGGUUUGCUUGUAUAGUCCUGGGUGUCCUGGGACUCACAAUGCAGACUUGCUGACACUGAGUUCUGUGCGCCUCUACCCCCUGAGUGCUGGGAUCAAAGGCGUGCACUGCCACUGCCUACUGGAUCAAAGUCCGCUUAUGGAUUACCUUUUCUCAUGUAUUUCAGAUUUGUUUAAUAGGUUUGUCAAUGUCCUAUCUUGACUAUUCCUGCUGUUUCUGGAUCAUGACAACUCUUGCUACACUUUCCUUUUUGCUUUUAAUAUUGUUGUUAACUGCUUCAACUUCUUUAAUUCUCAAAUUCAAAUUAUAAUAAAGAACUAUUUCUUUAGUAUUGUGGUAAA